rnacentral:lncRNA from 1 species
ACAGCAACAGGAAGUAACUGACACAAACGCCCAUAAAGAUGAAAAAGGUCUUGUGUGGAGCAGCGCUGUAUGCUCAUCCCUUCAUCAGAGUCAGCUGGAUUUUGCAAGGGAGGAAAGGAUCUACAUCUUCAAACCCUCCAGCCUGAGCUAGGCUCCCAGGACCCCACCCUCCUUCGCUCACACUUGCACGCGCAGGACCAGAGCCUGUGGGCCCUGGUGUACAUCUCCCGCCGAUGCAGAAUCUGCAAAUAGACGCCUCCUUCCACAACAUACCUCUCCACAAAGCCAACCCACUGAAACGGAGCUCAUUAUCUCCAGACAUCGCUGCGGCCAAAGAUGAGCAAAAGACCCGGGUUGCCAGAAGAAUGUAAGUCAGCCUCGAAGACUGAGAAGGCAGAGUCACUACAUGGGCACCGGCACAGACCCUCCUGGCCCCUUGAGAUAUUUGGACUCUACGAAGUACAGAGGCAGCGCAGAUUUUUAUCCUUGUGCAGAUUCUUCAAAAUGAACACAAGGUUACAUAACCCAAGAUGCACAGAGAAAUGUGCAGUGUGAUGGAGUUUCCAGGACACAGGCUGCAGACCAGUGAAUGGCCGACAUCAGCUGGCUUGGAGGGAGGUGCGCUGGAAUCUCCUGCAGUUCCUGACGGAAGUGGGCUGUUUCCACGGUUUAGAACCGCUCACAACGUGAGCUACUUUUUUUAGUCUUUUCAAGACAGAAGCUUGGGUCAAAGUCUUAUUCAUCUGUGGCAGAGGGUAAUAAAAACAGGAAGUCUGGGACCUGUCUACUGAGAAAAGAAAGCUCUUUCUCCUAAGUUGGGGACU